rnacentral:lncRNA from 1 species
UUUUUUUUUUUUUUUUUUUGCUUUUUUUUAGGGCCAAACCUGAGGCAUAUGGAAGUUCCCAGACUAGGGGUCAAAUCAGAGUUGUAGCUCACACCACACCGCAGCUCACAGCAACUCCGGAUCCUUAACCCACUGAGCGAGACCAGGGAUCACACCCACAUCCUCAUGGAUCCAGGUUGGGUUCAUUACCACUGAGCCACCAUGAGAACUCACUAAAUGGAAGUGGUUUUAAAACGAGUGAUCUGCCUGCCCUCCUGUGGGUACAGCAAGGCAGCAGCCAUAAAACGAAAACCCUGGUCAGUUCCCAGAGUGAAACCUGCAGUCUUAGCCACCUAAGUCCUGGGGCAGGUGGUCCCCUGAGCAAGAUGCUGUUUCCCUAGGGGUGGGGGUGGGGGGCUUUUUCUGACGUUAAAGCUCCUCUAGUCUGGGACUCCCAGGUGGGCAGCCUGGUGGCCUCCUGCUCGGCCAGCCCCUCUCCUGAGCCCUGUGGGGGGAAGCCCCCUCCUCCCCGCCGAGGGGCUGCCCCCACCAGGGUCACCUUCUCUGCCUGCUCUUUGAAUCACCUCUCCCCCAUUUUUGAAGUGAUCUUUGAACUUGGGGGCUUGGGGCAGGAGGAAGAGAGCACCAGAAGUGUUGUGUAAACACUGGUUCUGAUCCUUCUCAACUUUUACUACCUGUAAGGACAGGUGGACGUGGAGAAGCUGCUGGCAGGAAGGGCCAAUUGUUCUCAAGGUUAUGGGUUAUGCAAUCGAGCAGAAGAGCUUUGAAGCUGCAGGAGGAGGUCAGAGCAGCUUGUCCACAAAGCAUAUGACGCAGAAGUUUCCCUUUAGAAGAACUUACUUGCUUGACUCUCGUUAGGAAUUCCUGUGCCAGCAUUUAGCUGGAUCUCUGGGGUGAGUCGUUAUCUCCGGUCUGCAGUUAAAGUAAGGAAUUUCUUUUAAAGGACCCUACUUCCGGAGUUUUCCUGAGAUGCCAGGCUGAAGCGGGUACCUUCAGCACCUAUUUUUGUAUAGAAUGUCGUUUCAUCCGAGUCUGUAACCUUGUGCUCGUGUCCGUGGGAAAGAAAAAAAAUAGUGAGACCCUUCUUUAUCCAGUUACGAGGCGGAGGUAGACGGUGAUGUCAUAGGUUGUGUGGACCCGGCUGUGCUGAGCUUGCGUCUGGGACAGUGACCAGACAGACCAGAGGAGAAGUGGAAGGUAUUUUUAGCCCCUGGGGGCUGCUCUGGACGCCGCUUCUCCGGGCGCCCCAGUACCUCCCGCGGGGAGAUGCGGCGCAGGCGCACUGGCUCUCAUGCCUUCCGCCUCUGAAUCAUACCGUAGAAUAUUCGGGAGCCCUGGUGGGCUGCCGACUUGAUGGCGCAGCUUUGAGAGCCACACACUUCAGCCCAAAUCUGAGACGUUGCUGGAGGGCCUCUCAGCGGGCCCUGGGUCCCUCGCAGGGACCGGACCAGUCCUCUUCUUCCGAAGUGUGGUUUUCUCUGGAAAUCCGGGCCUGGGUUAUGUACAUCAAGUGCAGCUUUAGAAAAGUGAUAAAAGGAAGGGAUCCUGUCUGGGGUACGCAGGCUGUCCCUAGAAUCACUUUUGCAGGCUGAAGGGCUUCUGGAUGUGAUGUGGAGGGUGUAGGUCAGUUUCCGAAUAAGUCGGCUUCUGCUUGGCUGGUCAGGGUUUUGACUGCGGGCCAGUCCGUCUCUCUGGCCGUGGGAGUGAGCGGUGCCAGUAGGAGUGUGGAAGACACCACGUGCUGUGUGGAAGAAGCUCUGGAUGAGAUUAGGAGGCCGGAUCCUUGUCUCUCUCCUCCAGCUGCCUCCCCCGACCCCAGUAUGUCCCAGCCUCGAGCUCGAGUGACCCUGGCGGGUUCCUGGGCCUCUCUCUACCCCCGUUGAUAAGUUGAGGCCGUGUAUGGCCUACAGGCCCCGAGUCAGGCUGCCUGGGUCUGCAUCCAGGCUCUGCCCCUUGCUGGCUCUGUGACUCAGGGCACAUGAGCAUUUCUCAGUGUCUUGGUGCCUGUUUCCCCAUCACUAAUGGGAAUAGUACCCACUUCACAGGCUGCUGUGAGGCCCAAUUGGGUUAAAGUGUGUGGCCUGCCUGCAAGGCGGUUGGCCUUUCUUGGGAUGGCUCACAAAUGCCUCUUCCAGUGAGGGAGUCUGUUACUUUCUUCUACCUCUUCAGGCAAAUGGACCACCCGAGAGGUCCCUAGAGGAGGCAAAGCAGGUGAUGACCAGGGAAGCCAGAGGGGCCCUGGGGUGGGUCACGGUGCCCGCCCUGUGCUCUGCCUCCCUCCCUGGUCUCCCCAAGAAAAGCUCAGCCCGGCAGAGCACAGGCCCCAGCAGCUCCCGCUGUUAACUGUGCAGGGAAGACAGAUCCUCAGGUGAGCAGCGUCGCUGCCCUGGGGUGCUGCCCCCAGGCCCACGGAUGCCCAGGCAGCCUGUGCCAGUUUUCUCAGUUUUCAAGUGUCGUGGUCAGACUGGGUCAUGGGGGCCAAGCUCUUUACUAGCUGGUUCCCCUGAUGAAAACUCUUUCAUUGAAACGCUUCAUUCCCGAUCUACAUUGUUUCCAAUCCCCAUGCUCUUCUCUGAGGGCUCAGCUGGCUGCCCUUCAAAGAGCCCAGUGAGAGACAAGUGUAGUAGUUUCAUGCAGCUUCCCACCUCCCUCUCCAACCGCCUGGUACUCCGUGGUUUCUGCAGAGGUUCUCAGUAGGAGAAAAGUUAUGUUUAUGGGGCACAUUCAGAGAGCUUGUGCCUCCAUUCCAGAAUUUGUUUGGAGGCUCUGCCCCACGUGGUGGAGAAUCUUGUUAAGUUCGGGUGGUUCCCUACAGUUUCCACUAGAAAUUACGUCUUUAAAGACUGCUCUGGGCAGGAGAGUCUGGAACUCCCUGCUAGAGACCUUGGGGACUGGCAAGGGACAUCUACGAAUCCGAAGAGGGGCUAAGUUAGGUGAGCAAUCUGAGAACAGAGGCCAGGCUUUAUUGCCUUGUAAAUCACAAACCUGAAGUUUUGUCAGAUCUUUGGGUAAGGGGAGAGCCACCCUGAAUAGAUAACCCUGUCCUAAAUUGCCUUUGCAAGGACCUAAAAUAUGAGACUAUUGAAUGUUCUUCAUUAUACGUAAUUGUUAGUCCAGGAGUUCCCAUUGUGGCUCAGUGGUAAUGAAACCCACUAGUAUCCAUGAGGACGAGGGUUCCAUCUCAGGCCUCACUCAGUGGGUUAAGGGUCCAGUGUUGCUUUGAGCUGUGGUGUAGACCAGCAGCUGUGGCUCUGAUUCAAUCCCUAGGCUGAGAACUUCC